AUGGGGAACAUACUGACCUGUUGUGUGUGCCCCAGGGACAGCCACGAGUUUGACCAGCAACAGGGGUCAGUGUACCCCUCUGAGUCCGAGAUCCAUGAGGCAGGAUCUGGGGACAGGAUGGCAGGAGCGCCCAUGGCUGCUGCUGUACAGCCUGCUGAGAUGACUGUUGAAGUUGGUGAAGACCUCCACAUGCACCACAUCCAUGACCGGGAGAUGCCUGAAGCUUUGGAGUUUAACCCUUCUGCCAAUCCAGAGGCAAGCACAAUAUUCCACGGGAACUGUCAAACAGAUGCUUUGGAGUUUAACCCUUCUGCCAAUCCAGAGGCAAACACAAUAUUCCACGGGAACUGUCAAACAGAUGAAGAAAGUUGGAGUUUUGGCUGGGCAUGGUGGCUCACGUCUGUAAUCCCAGCACUUUGGGAGGCUGAAGUGAGCAGAUCAUCUGAGGUCAGGAGUUCAAGACCAGCCUGGCCAACAGGUGAAAACCCAUCUCUACUAAAAAAAAAUACAAAAUUAGCUGGACGUGGUGGCGCAUGCUUGUAGUUCUAGCUAUUCACGAGGCUGAGGCAGGAGAAUUGCUUGAACCCAGGAGGCGGAGGUUGCAGUGAGCAGAGAUUGCGCCAAUGCACUCAACCUGGGUGACAGAGUGAGACCCCAUCUCACCAAAAAAAAAAAAAAAAAAAAAGUUAGAGUUUUUCAGUCUCUACACUGCUGGGAGAGGCGGGGGAUGGGAGGCGGUAGAAAAUAGAAAACAGUUGAUUUGCCUCCAAAAUUUUGCAAAGAGAUGAAUCUAAGUAAAAGUUAUUCUGGGUAAUAAUAUAGUUCUUGAAUAAAAACUAAAAUUUUCAAAAUAGAAAACGUUGCAUCAUAAAGAUAUUAAAUCCAGUUGGCUUAUUGGUUUCAUUUAAAUGCCAGAGAUUCGUUACUGUAGAGGAAAUGUCUUAUAGUUCUUCUAUCUAAACUUUGGUUGGGCUCUUAAUUUUUUAAGAAGUAGAAUAAUUAAGACUCUUGAUGAGUGUGACUUUGUAACUUGGAAGUACUAUCCUCACUUUUCAAGAUAUUUAAGGAUUGCUUUAGAACAAACAAAUAUAUGAAUUAAUUGAUUAUACCUUUAUACACAAAACAUGUAAGUACUUGUGUAAACGUAUAGUCUGCUUGGUGAUGUAAGGAAAGGCUGAUUGGUGUUACACACCAGUUAGUAGA
rnacentral:lncRNA from 1 species